UAGGGAAUCUUCCACAAUGGACGCAAGUCUGAUGGAGCAACGCCGCGUGAGUGAAGAAGGCUUUCGGGUCGUAAAACUCUGUUAUUGAAGAAGAACGUGCGUGACAGUAACUGGUCAUGCAGUGACGGUAUUCAAUCAGAAAGUCACGGCUAACUACGUGCCAGCAGCCGCGGUAAUACGUAGGUGGCAAGCGUUGUCCGGAUUUAUUGGGCGUAAAGCGAGUGCAGGCGGUCUUUUAAGUCUGAUGUGAAAGCCCUCGGCUUAACCGAAGAAGGGCAUCGGAAACUGGGAGACUUGAGUGCAGAAGAGGAGAGUGGAACUCCAUGUGUAGCGGUGAAAUGCGUAGAUAUAUGGAAGAACACCAGUGGCGAAGGCGGCUCUCUGGUCUGUAACUGACGCUGAGGCUCGAAAGCGUGGGUAGCAAACAGGAUUAGAU
rnacentral:rRNA from 1 species